UCUUGCAAAUCAAUGGGUGCAAACCGAGGAUGCCACCGCCACUAUGCCGAGAUCUGAAGAUUUUGAGGAUCCAUCCAGAUCCGUCGCCGAGCAAUAGAGUAGAGUGAAGGAGGCGAUGCUAGAUCUGAAGAUCUCGAGGUUCUUGGAGACCUCGACGGCGACGGUGCGGUGGAGGGGAGGGUGUAGAAGGGGGCAGCGGAGGUGGGUCGAUGGCGGUGGUGGUCGUGGUUAUAGAUCAGGUGAUGGUUAUGGUGGAUGUGGCCAUUGGAGAUGGUGGUGUGAGGUUAAAUCGAUGGUUGGAGGCGAUUGCAUCAACCUAGGGUUGUUUUACGACGCUUGGAUUUUGAUUGACGGCUAGGGUUGGUGGAUAGUAGUUGGCGGCGGCUGUGAUUUGUUUGCUCUAGGGUUUGCCGACGGCUGAUAAUUUUUUUUUUGAUGCUAGGGUUUGGAAUACUACGCCAUAGUAAACCAUAGUAUACCGUAGUAAACUAUAGUAUGCAGUAGUAAAAUAUAGUACACUGUAAACUAUAGUACAUCGUACUAUCGUAGUAUAUCAUAGAACACCAAAUUCUACUACAAUAUUAUUA
rnacentral:lncRNA from 1 species